AUUGAACGCUGGCGGCAUGCUUUACACAUGCAAGUCGAACGGUAACAGGCCGCAAGGUGCUGACGCGUGUCGCACGGGUGUGUAAUGCAUCGGAACGUGCCCCGUCGUGGGGGGUAACUACUCGAAAGAGUAGCUAAUACCCCAUACGCUCUAUGGAUGAGAGCGGGGGACCGUGAGGCCUCGCGCGAUUGUAGCGGCCGAUGUCGGAUUAGGUAGUUGGUGGGGUAAAGGCUCACCAAGCCAACGAUCUGUAGCUGGUCUGAGAGGACGACCAGCCACACUGGGACUGAGACACGGCCCAGACUCCUACGGGAGGCAGCAGUGGGGAAUUUUGGACAAUGGGCGCAAGCCUGAUCCAGCAAUGCCGCGUGCAGGAAGAAGGCCUUCGGGUUGUAAACUGCUUUUGUACGGGAAGAAACGGUUCUGGUUAAUACCCGGGGGUAAUGACGGUACCGGAAGAAUAAGCACCGGCUAACUACGUG
rnacentral:rRNA from 1 species